UACGGAGGGGGUUAGCGUUGUUCGGAAUUACUGGUAAAGCGUACGUAGGCGGAUCAGAAAGUUGGGGGGUGAAAUCCCGGGGCUCAACCCCGGAACUGCCUCCAAAAACUCCUGGUCUUGAGUUCGAGAGAGGUGAGUGGAAUUCCAAGUGUAGAGGUGAAAUUCGUAGAUAUUUGGAGGAACACCAGUGGCGAAGGCGGCUCACUGGCUCGAUACUGACGCUGAGGUACGAAAGUGUGGGGAGCAAACAGGAUUAGAUACCCGUGUAGUC
rnacentral:rRNA from 1 species